rnacentral:rRNA from 1 species
AACGGAAAGGCCCUGCUUGCAGGGUACUCGAGUGGCGAACGGGUGAGUAACACGUGGGUGAUCUGCCCUGCACUUCGGGAUAAGCUUGGGAAACUGGGUCUAAUACCGGAUAGGAGCCAUCUUUAGUGUGGUGGUUGGAAAGUUUUUUCGGUGUAGGAUGAGCUCGCGGCCUAUCAGCUUGUUGGUGGGGUAAUGGCCUACCAAGGCGGCGACGGGUAGCCGGCCUGAGAGGGUGUACGGCCACAUUGGGACUGAGAUACGGCCCAGACUCCUACGGGAGGCAGCAGUGGGGAAUAUUGCACAAUGGGCGCAAGCCUGAUGCAGCGACGCCGCGUGGGGAAUGAAGGCCUUCGGGUUGUAAACUCCUUUCGCUAGGGACGAAGCUUUGUUGUGACGGUACCUAGAUAAGAAGCACCGGCUAACUACGUGCCAGCAGCCGCGGUAAUACGUAGGGUGCGAGCGUUGUCCGGAAUUACUGGGCGUAAAGGGCUCGUAGGUGGUUUGUC